CCUGGUUGAUCCUGCCAGUGGUCAUAUGCUUGUCUCAAAGAUUAAGCCAUGCAUGUUUAAGCAGAAGCCGCACAACGGUAAAGCCGCGAAUGGCUCAUUACAACAGCCGUCGUUUCUUGGAUCUCUAAUUUUACUUGGAUAACUGUGGUAAUUCUAGAGCUAAUACACGCACUGAAGCUCUGACCUUACGGGACGAGCGCAUUUAUUAGAACAAAACCAAUCGGGUUCUGCCCGUUCGUUGGUGACUCUGAAUAACUCUGCUGAUCGCACGGUCUCGCACCGGCGACGUAUCUUUCAAGUGUCUGCCUUAUCAACUUUCGAUGGUAGUUUAUGUGCCUACCAUGGUUGUAACGGGUAACGGAGAAUAAGGGUUCGACUCCGGAGAGGGAGCCUGAGAAACGGCUACCACUUCCAAGGAAGGCAGCAGGCGCGCAAAUUACCCACUCUCGGCACGAGGAGGUAGUGACGAAAAAUAACGAGACGGAUCUCUUUGAGGCCCGUUAUCGGAAUGAGAACAAUUUAAAUCCUUUAAAGAGGAUCUAGCGGAGGGCAAGUCUGGUGCCAGCAGCCGCGGUAAUUCCAGCUCCGCAGGUGUAUAUCUAUGCUGCUGCGGUUAAAAAGCUCGUAGUUGGAUCUGCGUGCUCGGAACCGGUUGGCUCACUGAGUUCAAACUGGUCUCCGGCGCUUUAUUGGCUGGUUUUCCCUUGAUGCUCUUAACCGGGUGUCUUGGGUGGCUAGCACGUUUACUUUGAAAAAAUUAGAGUGCUCAAUACAGGCGCAAAGCCUUGAAUAGUGGAGCAUGGAAUAAUAGAAUAGGACCUCGGCUCUAUUUUGUUGGUUUUCGGAACGCGAGGUAAUGAUUAAGAGGGACAGACGGGGGCAUUCGUAUUGCGACGUUAGAGGUGAAAUUCUUGGAUCGUCGCAAGACGGACGACUGCGAAAGCAUUUGCCAAGAAUGUUUUCAUUAAUCAAGAACGAAAGUUAGAGGUUCGAAGGCGAUCAGAUACCGCCCUAGUUCUAACCGUAAACGAUGCCAACUAGCGAUCCGCAGGCGUUAAACAACGACCUUGCGGGCAGCUUCCCGGAAACGAAAGUGUUCGGGUUCCGGGGGAAGUAUGGUUGCAAAGCUGAAACUUAAAGGAAUUGACGGAAGGGCACCACCAGGAGUGGAGCCUGCGGCUUAAUUUGACCCAACUCGGGAAAACUCACCCGGCCCGGACACCGUAAGGAUUGACAGAUUGAGAGCUCUUUCUUGAUUCGGUGGGUGGUGGUGCAUGGCCGUUCUUAGUUGGUGGAGCGAUUUGUCUGGUUUAUUCCGAUAACG
rnacentral:rRNA from 1 species